rnacentral:rRNA from 1 species
UGGGGAAUAUUGCGGCAAUGGGGGGAAACCCUGACGCAGCAACGCCGCGUGAAGGAAGAAGGCUUUCGGGUUGUAAACUUCUGUUCUUAGGGAAGAAGACAGUGACGGCACCUAAGGAGCAAGUCACGGCUAACUACGUGCCAGCAGCCGCGGUAAUACGUAGGUGACAAGCGUUGUCCGGAUUUACUGGGUGUAAAGGGCGUGUAGGCGGGAUAUCAAGUCAGUCGUGAAAUACCGAGGCUUAACUUCGGGGCUGCGAUUGAAACUGAUAUUCUUGAGUGUCGGAGGCGAAAGUCGGAAUUC